GAUGUCUUCUCUUGUUUUGAGCUGAUUAAUCGCACCAUGGUCAGAAAUCUACUCGACAGGAAGCUAAAGGGAAAACUGGUCGCAGACCUUUCUCAUCUUGCCCAUUCGUACGUUUCUUCACACCAACCUUCUGCAGCGGACUUAAAGAAAUGUAGGAUACUAAAGGAUUUGAGGAAGAACAAGGACAUUGUAAUACUGAAGCCUGACAAAGGAAAUGGCUUAGUUGUCAUGGACAGGAAAGCCUACGAACAGGGUAUUUUUUCCAUUAUCAGUGACACUUCUAAGUUUAAGGUUAAUGAUAACGAUCCUACAAUACAAAGGGAGGGUAAGUUACAACGUUUUUUAAGAGCGCUUACAUAUCUACUUAUCAGCUACCAUUUUAUGAUGACCAAAAGAAAAACAUUUUUCAAAACAUUGUUUACACAACACCCGACAUCCCAAUUGGCUGGGGAUUGAGGCCUAUGAUUGUCUUUUAAAGGUCAGUAAACUAACCACAAAAUUGCGUGAUUGAAGUAAAUAAAUCUCCUUGCAGACUAAAGAGGAUCUCCAAGAUUAAUUGAACAUUAUUUCACAUUCACAGUAAAAUAAUUGUUCAUCGAAGAUCAUGGAUCACAAUUAUUUGCGAUAAAUUAAAAGGACCCAAUGUGCUUCGCGCAGAAAUUAGUUGUAACCCUCUUCCUAGAGCGUUUCUAAAUAAGUAUUUUUGGCAAGUACCACAGAUCGAUUUUCAUCAAGGAAAUGGUGCUCUUCACGUCGUAUCUCAAUCUUAACGAAACAAUUUUUUACUUCUGCACAAGCAGCUUCUCCGAAAAUGCCCAGCUUGGUGUUUACAAUUACCAUUUGCAUCCGUUCUUCAGCGGAAAAGAACCCUUAGCAUUUACAUGUGGUUCAUCGGCGCCAAAUGCGACAGCAGAGAAUGAGAAUAAUUAACUUUCUGGAUUUUCGUCUAUGAGAUCAGAUGAUGCAAAUAACUUAACAUGAUUGCUGUAAGUGUGGUAUUCUCUUAAAAAUGAAACAAAGUAUAUUCAAAACUAUGCCUCCAUACAGCUACUCAUAAGAAUGAUUUAUCUUAGCGCUUUACGGAGAGAACAAAGACGAGUUUGAAAGGAUUAUUUGUACUAUCACCACUGCCGUACCUCUAAUUUUAAUCUAAUAAUUAGAUUAAAUUAAUUAGAUUAAUUUGUAAUUUGUCAUUUCCUAUUAAGCUUUCUUCUUAUUAAGCUUCAAUAAAACUUCGUAUAGUUAAGCCAAUCUGUAAAUAAAAAAAUUACUGAAACAAAGAAAACUAAUGCAAUUGAUUAUUAUUGUUUUUUUUGUUGUUGUUAUUUUAAAAUGGUUUCCAUAUUUCAUUUACUAGUUUAAAUUUCAUUUCAUCCAGUUAGUAUUUUUUCAUCUUCUUUUUCAUUAUUUUAUUUGCUUUUCAUAAUCUCUCUUUUAGGGUGUUUCAGGAUGAUGUUCUACCAAACCACAUGUUCAGGUGUUUCUUGUCUUUCUGAAAAAUAUUAAAGGAGACAUUUUUAAGAUCAGAGGGUCAUGUGACCUGACAUUUCCCACGUUUGCCAGCUGCUGUUUCUACUCAAGGACAUUUUUCCCGUUUGUAGGGAACAC